UUCCUACGGGGCGCAGCAGUGGGGGAUAUUGCACAAUGGGGGGAACCCUGAUGCAGCGACGCCGCGUGGGUGAAGGAGCGUUUCGGCGCGUAAAGCCCUAUCGGCAGGGAAGAAGGAGGACGGUACCUGACUAAGAAGCCCCGGCUAACUACGGGCCAGCAGCCGCGGUAAUACGUAGGGGGCAAGCGUUAUCCGGAUUCACUGGGUGUAAAGGGAGCGUAGACGGCCAUGCAAGCCUGGAGUGAAAGCCCGGGGCCCAAACCCGGGACUGCUCUGGGAACUGUGCGGCUGGAGUGUGGGAGGGG
rnacentral:rRNA from 1 species